rnacentral:tRNA from 1 species
GCCUUGUUAGCGCAGUAGGUAGCGCGUCAGUCUCAUAAUCUGAAGGCCGUGAGUUCAAUCCUCACACAGGGCA